GGGUUGUGAGGUUAAGCGACUAAGCGUACACGGUGGAUGCCCUGGCAGUCAGAGGCGAUGAAGGGCGUGCUAAUCUGCGAUAAGCGCCGGUAAGGUGAUAUGAACCGUUAUAACCGGCGAUACCCGAAUGGGGAAACCCAGUGUGAUUCGUCACACUAUCAUUAACUGAAUCCAUAGGUUAAUGAGGCGAACCGGGGGAACUGAAACAUCUAAGUACCCCGAGGAAAAGAAAUCAACCGAGAUUCCCCCAGUAGCGGCGAGCGAACGGGGAGGAGCCCAGAGCCUGAAUCAGCAUGUGUGUUAGUGGAAGCGUCUGGAAAGGCGCGCGAUACAGGGUGACAGCCCCGUACACAAAAGCGCAUAUGCUGUGAGCUCGAUGAGUAGGGCGGGACACGUGGUAUCCUGUCUGAAUAUGGGGGGACCAUCCUCCAAGGCUAAAUACUCCUGACUGACCGAUAGUGAACCAGUACCGUGAGGGAAAGGCGAAAAGAACCCCGGCGAGGGGAGUGAAAAAGAACCUGAAACCGUGUACGUACAAGCAGUGGGAGCCCCACCACCAAAGCAUUCUCUGGUGUUGAAGGCCCUGCAAAGCAGCAUCGCGGUGGCGGAGCGUCGUUUGCGACGCCCAACACACAAAACAAGCGGUGAAUGCUUUGGGGUGGGGUGACUGCGUACCUUUUGUAUAAUGGGUCAGCGACUUAUAUUCUGUAGCAAGGUUAACCGUAUAGGGGAGCCG
rnacentral:rRNA from 2 species